rnacentral:rRNA from 1 species
GUGGGGAAUAUUGCACAAUGGGCGCAAGCCUGAUGCAGCCAUGCCGCGUGUAUGAAGAAGGCCUUCGGGUUGUAAAGUACUUUCAGCGGGGAGGAAGGUGUUGAGGUUAAUAACCUCAGCAAUUGACGUUACCCGCAGAAGAAGCACCGGCUAACUCCGUGCCAGCAGCCGCGGUAAUACGGAGGGUGCAAGCGUUAAUCGGAAUUACUGGGCGUAAAGCGCACGCAGGCGGUCUGUCAAGUCGGAUGUGAAAUCCCCGGGCUCAACCUGGGAACUGCAUUCGAAACUGGCAGGCUAGAGUCUUGUAGAGGGGGGUAGAAUUCCAGGUGUAGCGGUGAAAUGCGUAGAGAUCUGGAGGAAUACCGGUGGCGAAGGCGGCCCCCUGGACAAAGACUGACGCUCAGGUGCGAAAGCGUGGGGAGCAAACAGGAUUAGAUACCCGUGUAGUCC